AAGUCGAGCGAACAGACGAGGAGCUUGCUCCUUUGACGUUAGCGGCGGACGGGUGAGUAACACGUGGGUAACCUACCUAUAAGACUGGGAUAACUUCGGGAAACCGGAGCUAAUACCGGAUAAUAUUUCGAACCGCAUGGUUCGAUAGUGAAAGAUGGCUCUGCUAUCACUUAUAGAUGGACCUGCGCCGUAUUAGCUAGUUGGUAAGGUAACGGCUUACCAAGGCAACGAUACGUAGCCGACCUGAGAGGGUGAUCGGCCACACUGGAACUGAGACACGGUCCAGACUCCUACGGGAGGCAGCAGUAGGGAAUCUUCCGCAAUGGGCGAAAGCCUGACGGAGCAACGCCGCGUGAGUGAUGAAGGUCUUCGGAUCGUAAAACUCUGUUAUUAGGGAAGAACAAACGUGUAAGUAACUGUGCACGUCUUGACGGUACCUAAUCAGAAAGCCACGGCUAACUACGUGCCAGCAGCCGCGGUAAUACGUAGGUGGCAAGCGUUAUCCGGAAUUAUUGGGCGUAAAGCGCGCGUAGGCGGUUUUUUAAGUCUGAUGUGAAAGCCCACGGCUCAACCGUGGAGGGUCAUUGGAAACUGGAAAACUUGAGUGCAGAAGAGGAAAGUGGAAUUCCAUGUGUAGCGGUGAAAUGCGCAGAGAUAUGGAGGAACACCAGUGGCGAAGGCGACUUUCUGGUCUGUAACUGACGCUGAUGUGCGAAAGCGUGGGGAUCAAACAGGAUUAGAUACCCUGGUAGUCCACGCCGUAAACGAUGAGUGCUAAGUGUUAGGGGGUUUCCGCCCCUUAGUGCUGCAGCUAACGCAUUAAGCACUCCGCCUGGGGAGUACGACCGCAAGGUUGAAACUCAAAGGAAUUGACGGGGACCCGCACAAGCGGUGGAGCAUGUGGGUUUAAUUCUAAGCAACGCGGAGAACCUUACCAAAUCUUGACAUCCUUUGACCCUUCUAGAGAUAGAAGUUUCCCCUUCGGGGGACAAAAUGACAAGUGGGGGCAUGGUUGUCGUCACCUCCNGUCCUGA
rnacentral:rRNA from 1 species